rnacentral:lncRNA from 1 species
GCACCGACCCGCAUCGACCCCCCCUCGGGGCUGCGCUGCCGCUGCCCCCCCGCGCCCCCCCCGGAGCCUCGCUCUGAUUGGACACCGCCCCCCCCCCCCGGCCCCCCCCAGCAAGGGGGGGCCCCAGGGCCCGAUCCAGCGCCUGCGGCUGCUCAACACCCUCACGGGGCAACAGGCCACAGUGCAGUCGGACAGUGUUCGCGGGCCCCUGCAGGGGGCGCUGUUGUGGAACGCGCACGCCGGCGGCUACGCGUGGCGGAGCGGGGGCGCCCCCUUGCGGCCGGAGGACCCGCUGCCGCCCGCCCCCCCCGCCGAGCCCGGGUCCCCCCCCCGGGUCCCCCCCCACGGCGCUGCUCUACUUCGCCGAUGACUUCGUGGAGAUCUGAACGCACCCUCAGGACCGGCUCUUGGAGACACCGGGGUGGGGGGGUCCCCUCGGGGGGGGGUCCCCCCCCAGUUUUGGGGGGAGCGAGCGGAAAUAAACCCCCGUUAUGGGACGUAC